rnacentral:lncRNA from 1 species
AUGACCAUUUUGUUUGUUUCACCUCCUGCUGCUCGUGUAGCCUUAGAAAUGAAGAACCAAAGGGUUACAGAAUUGUGUUUGAUGACUUUUUUCUUCUGUUUAAGUGAAUCCUCCACACAAUGUGAAGGAGACAAAUUUUUCACUCCACCGGCCAAUUACCACACUGAUGUGAGGACCCUGGAUUGGCCCACUUCCAAAUUUUGGAAAAACAUUGUCAAUCGUGAACUGUGUAUAACAAUCUGGCACAACAUGUGGAUGUUGAGAAAGGAAGCUGUGGAUUAGAGGUCCAAGAACUUUCCAGCCUAAGGAAACUUCACCCCACCCUCCAGGUCCAAGAGGAAAUUAGGGGUCUUGGCCAGUAAAGUCACGGCUUAGCUGAAGAGUGUAUAAAACUAAUAAAUAGUAAUUCUGGAUACCUUCCUCA